CCCUACGGGGGGCUGCAGUGGGGAAUUUUACGCAAUGGGGGAAACCCUGACGUAGCGACACCGCGUGAGCGAAGAAGCCCCUUGGGGUGUAAAGCUCUGUCAGCUGGAACGAAACAAAUGACGGUACCAGCAGAGGAAGCAUCGGCUAACUACGUGCCAGCAGCCGCGGUAAGACGUAGGAUGCGAGCGUUGUCCGGAUUUAUUGGGCGUAAAGAGUUCGUAGGUGGUUUGUUAAGUUUGAUGUUAAAGAUCGGGGCUCAACCUCGGGACAGCAUUGAAUACUGGCAGACUUGAGUAUGGUAGAGGCUAGUGGAAUUCCCAGUGUAGCGGUGAAAUGCGUAGAUAUUGGGAAGAACACCGGUGGCGUAGGCGACUAGCUGGGCCAUAACUGACGCUGAGGAACGAAAGCCAGGGGAGCGAAAGGGAUUAGAUACCCGAGUAGUCG
rnacentral:rRNA from 1 species